rnacentral:rRNA from 1 species
CCUACGGGGGGCUGCAGUGAGGAAUAUUGGUCAAUGGCCGCAGGGCUGAACCAGCCAAGUCGCGUGAGGGAUGACGGUCCUAUGGAUUGUAAACCUCUUUUGUCAGGGAGCAAAGGGCGCCACGUGUGGCGCUUUGCGAGUACCUGACGAAAAAGCAUCGGCUAACUCCGUGCCAGCAGCCGCGGUAAUACGGAGGAUGCGAGCGUUAUCCGGAUUUAUUGGGUUUAAAGGGUGCGCAGGCGGAAUGUCAAGUCAGCGGUAAAAUUUCGGGGCUCAACCCCGUCGUGCCGUUGAAACUGGCGUUCUUGAGUGAGCGAGAAGUAGGCGGAAUGCGUGGUGUAGCGGUGAAAUGCAUAGAUAUCACGCAGAACUCCGAUUGCGAAGGCAGCAUACCGGCGCUCAACUGACGCUCAUGCACGAAAGCGUGGGUAUCGAACAGGAUUAGAUACCCCUGUAGUC